rnacentral:rRNA from 1 species
UACGAGGGGGGCAAAUGUUGUUCGGAAUUACUGGGCGUAAAGCGCGUGUAGGCGGCCCUGUAAGUCGGGUGUGAAAUCCCACGGCUCAACCGUGGAAGUGCAUUCGAAACUACAGGGCUAGAGUUCUGGAGAGGAAGGUGGAAUGCUUGGUGUAGAGGUGAAAUUCGUAGAUAUCAAGCGGAACACCGGUGGCGAAGGCGGCCUUCUGGACAGUAACUGACGCUGAGACGCGAAAGCGUGGGGAGCAAACAGG